rnacentral:sRNA from 1 species
AUCGGUGUCGGGCAAAGAUGUCGCAAAAAAACAACUAAAAAUAAUUUUUAAAUUUAACCUCCAUCCGUGGUUUGAUGAAAGCGAAAAUUCAAAUGUUAACAAAAAGGGCACAACAAGUUCAUUUGGUUUCCAAUGAAGUAUGCGCGUCCAGCUGUAUGCCUUUUAUCAAACGUUCUCCAUCUCACACCCUUAAUUCCUUUUCACCUGAAUGAAUUCAUCUUUUGCUGUGGUAUUCAUUGAGUGUUGUAGGGUAUACCAUAUGAUUGCUAUGAAUCAAUGCUACCUUUUCUUAAAUGCAAACAGACAUACAUAUCUCCUCAUACAUACAUAUUUGCCUAGUUCCAGUGUUCGUCCACACAAGUUGCUGUGCGCAGAAUAUCUAUUGCAGAUAGUCAUUGUUUAUGUUGUUUCUAUAUAAUUAUGACAACAAAAUAAUCCGUUACAAGUUUUCAGUUUUGAAACUGUGGAAUGUAUCACCAUGACAACGAUUUUAUGUAUUCGAGCUUUAUUGCUGCAAAUGUCGACUAAAGUACAAUUAUCAACGCUGCGUAGAAUGACGACAAAAAGGAGAAUCGAAAAAAUUAUGAAAAACAAGUAAAAGCGUUCUAAGUUUGGCCGGACCGAAUGUUGGGAACCCCCCACCAUGGAUU